GCCUUCUGUCUGAAUAAUGUUUAUAACAAUUGUUAAAACUUUCAACAACGGAUCUCUUGGUUCUCGCAUCGAUGAAGAACGCAGCGAAAUGCGAUAAGUAGUGUGAAUUGCAGAAUUCAGUGAAUCAUCGAAUCUUUGAACGCACAUUGCGCCUCCUGGUAUCCGGGAAGCAUGCCU
rnacentral:rRNA from 1 species